UACGUAGGGGGCAAGCGUUGUCCGGAUUUAUUGGGCGUAAAGAGCGUGUAGGCGGCCAUGCAGGUCCGUUGUGAAAACUCGAGGCUCAACCUCGAGACGCCGAUGGAAACCGCAUGGCUAGAGUCCGGAAGAGGAGAGUGGAAUUCCUGGUGUAGCGGUGAAAUGCGCAGAUAUCAGGAAGAACACCCGUGGCUAAGGCGGCUCUCUAGUACGGUACUGACGCUGAGACGCGAAAGCGUGGGGAGCGAACAG
rnacentral:rRNA from 1 species